GUCCUAGCCGUAAACGUUGGGUGCUAGGUGUGGGCGGAUAUUGACCCCGUCCGUGCCGAAGCUAACGCAUUAAGCACCCCGCCUGGGGAGUACGGCCGCAAGGCUAAAACUCAAAGGAAUUGACGGGGGCCCGCACAAGCGGCGGAGCAUGCGGCUUAAUUCGAUGCGACGCGAAGAACCUUACCUGGGCUUGACAUGCAGGGUGAAACCGGCGAAAGCCGGUGCUCUUCGGAGCCUGCACAGGUGGUGAAUGGCUGUCGU
rnacentral:rRNA from 1 species